UCUUCUGCUGAUCUAGUCCAAGUUCCACUGCCUGACAUUUCAGAACUUCUGGAUGCCUACAGCCCUUAUUUCAGAAAGUGAUAAAUGCCCUGGAGACCAAUCAAGAAAGCCAACAAACUUAGACUUUGUUUCACUUUGGAAUUUUGCAGGCUUUGGCUCAUGCUGUUCCCUCUGCCUGAAAUGUCCACUCCACCUAGCCUACCUGGGGAACGAAUGUCUACACAUCAAGGAGGAUGUCUGUCCUGACUCCCAGUGGAAGUGACUUCCUGUUACUAUGGUCAGACUCACCAAGUAUGUCAAAACAACUCUGGGGG